CCUUACGAGUAGGGCUACACACGUGCUACAAUGGCGUAUACAGAGGGCAGCGAUACCGCGAGGUGGAGCGAAUCUCACAAAGUACGUCGUAGUCCGGAUUGGGGUCUGCAACUCGACUCCAUGAAGUCGGAAUCGCUAGUAAUCGCAAAUCAGAAUGUUGCGGUGAAUACGUUCCCGGGCCUUGUACACACCGCCCGUCACACCA
rnacentral:rRNA from 1 species